AACUGGUUACGGCGUUAACGGCGGGUCACCGGACGUUAUAAAUUAGCGCCAAUUUGAGGUGUGCCACCUGCAGACUGCAGCAAGACGAACGCCUUCGCCAUGGAUUACCUGAAAUCAGUUGUGCCUUCACAACUUAUUUCCGAUCGAGGUUCUAAUUUGGUAGUCAUAAACCCAGGAUCUGCAAAUAUUAGGAUUGGCCUUGCAUUGCAGGAUGCUCCUUUUAAUGUUCCUCAUUGCAUUGCUCGUUGUACCAAUCAAGUGCUCAAAAGAAAUGUUCAAGAUCAGGUUUAGAAUUCGUGUUAAGACGUCUACAACAUUAACCGAAAUUGUUAUCUGCACUCAGUGGUAAUGAAGUUGAUUAAGAUCUGUUGCUUAUUUUAUUGCAGUAAUGAACUCUAUCUGGCUGCAUUUUAUUUGCAACUUGAAAACACAUUCUUGGUUUUCUCUUAUACUCUAAGAAGGGCUAGGAUUCACUGAAGUGAAGUUUUUCAUUCAACUGAAUGGAAACAAAUACUUUAUAGAGAUAUGAAACAGGUAAAUAUGUCUGAUACACAACGUGUGGUAGAAGAUAGCAUUCAUGUUGCAUUUCUUGAGCAUAUAGCAUUCUAGUUUGAAGGAUUAAAAGAAACGUGUAAUAAACUAUUCUGUGCUCCUUUAGAUCAACUAAAUUGCAAGAGGAAGUAGAAGCAUACGUUAACUAUAUCAUUUUUUUUUUUCUUGUAUAAUAUAAUUAGGAGACCAUUUUAGUUCACUUUUUGAAUCUCACUUAUCGUCUAUUCAUGUGCUGUUCUUUUGUGUCAUACUUUUGAAGCAAGCAGAGUAGCAAACUGGUAAGUGGUUUUUUGGACUGAUGGAGCAGUAGCUCUAUGUACUUGACAAUCAAAUUAUCUGUUUAUUUAAAGAGACUAUCUAGAAUGCCUUUGAGUUUACCAAACGUUAUUAACCAUCUCAUUGGAAUUUUUCUUACAAGAAGAUAAACUACUUCACUUUUCAAUCCACAAUCCGAAAUUUCCUUGCAGGGCAUGCAAUUUUUAACAUCAUUGGUUCUUGUAUCCAUAUUCUAUUUCGUCUAUUACCAAAAAAAAAAAAAA